UAACCUGCCUGGUAGCGGGGGAUAACUAUUGGAAACGAUAGCUAAUACCGCAUAACAGUAGAUAUCGCAUGAUAGCUGCUUGAAAGGUACAACUGCACCACUACCAGAUGGACCUGCGUUGUAUUAGCUAGUUGGUGAGGUAACGGCUCACCAAGGCAACGAUACAUAGCCGACCUGAGAGGGUGAUCGGCCACACUGGGUCUGAGACACGGCCCAG
rnacentral:rRNA from 1 species